UCCAAACAGGAGCACUUUGUAUGAGUUAAAGUCAGAUUACUCAAGUAUACGAUACUUAUAUAGUUUAUUAAUCUGUGUCUUUCAGUACUACAAUUGACUGGCUUUCUAGAAGUUUAAAAGCUCCACAAAGAUCUUGGAUCACUCUCUUGGACUGACUAAACAAGUCAGAAUACUGCAGGAAACUGUGGACCCUGAGCUGCACUUGGCAGCUCCAAAACAAUGGCAGAGUGCACGCAGGAUGCCAACCCCGCCAACGUGAUCCAGAAUCCAAAAGCUGACAUUAAGGAUUCGAGAGAAGUGUCAGCUGAUGCUGCAUCGGUGGUAGCGCUCAAAGUCAGACCUGCAGACCUGGGAUUGAUUCGAAGUUUGUCCAAGUCGGACUCUGACUUGUUGGCGUCACCACUCGGAGAGGAGGAUGGCGGUCUGUCUGGCCGCAGUGGGUCCGUGUCUAACUGCAGCUCUGGGCGGCCGUCCACGGAGCACAUGCCUUCCUUUGCCUCUGAGUGGGAUGAGAUUGAGAAGAUGAUGAAUUUGAUUGGAGCAGGCAUUGAAACGUCCCAAAAGAAACAGCCCACGGCAAGUUCAGAUGGGGCCUGUGGUAAAGCCCUGGACCAGCCGGUCGGAGAGUGGCUGGAGCACGUGGGGCUGCCGCAGUACGAGAGCAAGUUCCUGCUCAAUGGCUUCGACGACCUACGAUUCAUGGGAAGUAACGUGAUGGAGGACCAGGAUCUCAGGGACAUUGGGAUCACUGACCCAGGACACAGAAAGAAAAUACUCCAUGCGGCACGCAGCUUGCCCAAGGUGAAAGCACUGGGCUGUGAUGGCAGCACAUCGCUUGUCUCCUGGCUGGACAGCCUCGGCCUGCAUGAAUAUCUGCCCAACUUUCUUUCAAGUGGCUACCGCACACUGGACUGUGUAAAGAACCUGUGGGAGCUGGAGAUUGUCAAUGUGAUUAAGAUUGGUGCCCUGGGCCACAGGAAGAGGAUCAUUGCCUCUAUAGCAGAGAGACCCUACGAAGAGGCUCCGACCAAAUCCCGUCGUCUGUCCCCAAUUAUGUUCCAUGACCUCCUGUCCCAGACCACAUCCCCCCUCAGUCAGAUGGACCCCUACACCAGUCGCUCCAUGGACAUGCUCCUGCCCUUGACUGAGCCGGACCGGAGGCGGAGAGGAGUUGACCAAGACUGUAGUGUUUCUCUGCGUUCAUAUAGUGAAAGGCCGCGCUCUGUAGACAGACAGAGUGAACGACACAAAGACUCUCGGUUAAACCUCCGCCCGCCGAACCAGUCUGCUACCUACGCCACGGUGUCCACCUGGCAUCACCAGCCUGAGAAGCUCAUCCUGGACUCCUGCGGGUACGAGGCAACCUACCUAGGAUCAAUGAUAAUCAGGGAUCUACGAGGGAUUGAGUCCACACAAGAUGCCUGUGCAAAAAUUAGGAAAUCAAAGGAUUCAAGAAAGGGUCCAGUUGUCAUACUGUCCAUUACCUAUAGAGGGGUCAAGUUCAUCGAUGCAGCCACAAAGACUAUAGUUGCAGAGCAUGAGAUCAGAAACAUCUCGUGCGCCGCCCAAGACCCAGAUGACCUCUUCACUUUUGCUUACAUUACCAAGGAUCUAAAGAGCGGCCAUCACUUCUGUCAUGUCUUCAGCUGUAUGGAAGUGACACAGACCUACGAGAUCAUCCUAACACUGGGACAGGCGUUUGAAGUGGCCUAUCAGAUGGCAAUGCAGUCCAGGGCAAGACACUAUGUCCCACCGACAUCUCUGUCCUCAGAGGUCAUAGAGACCAAAACCAGCCGCCCUGUAUCUCAGUCGUGGAGCAGCAUGCGAAGAUCAGCAGGUGCCCCUCUGCUCGAAUGCCGCUGCUGUCACUGUCACACGUGUACUUCCCACCGUCCUUCCUUCCUCCCGUUGCACUCUGUUAGCCCUGGAGUCCAGAUCGACCCCCUGGAGAUGGACGCAGACAUGCAGUCCCUGGGCAGCACCACCUGGCUCUUGGACCAGCGGGACUCCCACAGGCGCCCUGUCAGCACCAAGUACGAGACCACCAUAUUCUGAGGCCGGAUCCCCACAGCCGCCCUCUGCACCCCGUACUGUCCUCCCCCCUCCCGCCCGCCCCCCUCCCUCCUGCAUCCGGUUCUUUAUUUACCUCACACAGACACACACACACACACGCACACGCACACACAAGCCCCGUGCCUUCUCACUGUGAUGGUAUAGCAUCCCUCAGGGCUGCCUACUCCUGCACCUUCCUUUGCCCUGCCCAGCGACCCACACCAACCUCUUUACCCGCCAUGACAAACACUCCUGCGGCUGUCCCGUGCCUCCCCAACAUCCCUGGCAGCCUCCCUCGUCUGUUGCUGCAGCCAGUGGCGGAGCCCUGGAACGGAUGAUCCUGGACUGAUCUCAUUUUACGGUGGCCCUGCUCUCUCAACCAAACUGCCUCUUCCUCCUCAUCCUCCUCCUCCUGACAACUUGCAUCUGCCUUCAAAUCCCCGAUAGCUCCUAGAGCCUGUCCUGUCUUACCAGGCAUCUACCACUGUGAGGCACUAUGAGGAGGCUGCUUUGCUAGCAUGGGAUGCAAGACGGGCAAUUAAAUAAAUGAAAGACAAAACAGCAACAUGCAGCAAACAACCAGUUUUUUUUCUACGCAUUUGUACAAUACUCAUAACAACACGAUAGAUUGGUCGUGAAUCUAUCACUGAUGUCUGAACUCAAACGGACCAAGAACUGAAACCUCGUACACACAACACACAGGAGGACAACUUUCCUACACCUUACCGAGGACAACAGCCUUACGUCAUUUCGGUUAUCUAUAAUCAACUAAAGCCCCCACCUCCCCCCGACAUCCCUGAAUUCCACCACCACCACCCAACAACUGCACGCCUCCCCACUGCUUCUAAAAGACUAAAAAAAGACAACCCAUUUGAUUUCCUGGUGUGUUCAGUUGACCGUGACUGGCUGGGAUGAGGUUGUUCUUAUGAUGGUACAGAGAGUCUUUGCUCUGGCCUUUGUACUGCCCUUUCUGCAGUCUCACAGCAUCUAUGGUAGCACAGAGACACUGCAAAUCACAGCAUCUUCUUGUCAAUUAAAAUAUAUAUAUAAUAACACUGUGUUUAAACGUGGCACUAUCCCUUUUAAUACCUUCUUUUCUUACAGUGCAAAUAGACAGGGCAAUUUGUGAUACUUUUUGAUAGAUGGGGGCUUGAUUGAAAAUACUUGAUUUAAUGAGUGAUUCAAGAAGGGAUCAUAAAGGAUCCCAACAUUAAUACAACCAGAGGCAAAAAAAAACAAAAAACUAACUAAACAAAUACCACCCAAAAACAUUGCACAAGCAUAUUGAGCGUACUGACAUUGGAUCCACUUUUCACAAUUUAGGUAAUCUAAACAAAAACAUCCUCAACGAGAUUUCAUUUGACUCGUAUAUGAAUGAGUUUGGAGCACAUUUCCCAACAUAGCAUCUUAUUAUCAUGAUUACAUGGGUAGGUAUCUAUGCUGUUUCACACCAAUUUAGAAUUAGGUACAGUCCAUGCAAAGUAUGUCACUUGAAAAUAAACGGCAGUGAAAAGAUUUUAUUCCACUUACAUUGAAAAAGAGCCAAAUCUUAAAGUGUUGCUCUGGUGUCGCGUUAAUGCGAAAGGAUUUGUUAUGCUGAGAACAUGACAGUUAAUUUAUUAUUAUUUUUUUUUUUAUAAGAAUUUCCCUCCUGCACUGUGACUCAAAAAUGCUCGUUGUGGAGUCGACACAUAUCCGUGGGUCCUCCCCUGUGUGCGCUACCUACUGUGCGUGCUGUAUGCUUUUCUUGUGUCUGCCCUCAUGGGAGUUUGGACCGUUGCUGUUACAUCACUGUCCACUGUCCUUGUUUCUAUGUGCUGCAGGAGAAGUGAGGUAUUAGAGCUCCUCUCCAGAAGACAGUGUGUCUGGAGACUGACAGUUAACGCUGUAACUGGUUGGCGUGCGGUACAGUGGCUGUGUCAUUGCCACUCUUGUUAUGACUGUCAACUGUUAGCUUCCACUGACGAUGCAUGUUGGCAGUGUUUUUUUGUGUUCUUGUACCCUUUGAUGCACUUGGCCUGAGCAGUCUCUGUAUGUACUGUAGCAGUGUCUCGUCUCUUCUCACUCAUCUGCCAUUUGCUUUUUAUGUUCCCUUUCUCUCUUCGUUACACACCAAAUACAGCGACUCAUCCUCAUCUCUCCACGUUUCCAUUGUCGUCAUUCCUCCCAACAAUUUGUCACGUAUGUUCUUCCAUUUUGUGUGUCACCAAGACAACCUGCUCUAGUAUGGAUGCAUAAUAUAAAAAA